CUUUUGCUAUUGUGGACAUUGUUAUGAGAGAGAGGGAGAGAAAGAGAGAGAACUCUUGGUUGUUUAGUGUAAAGGAGGAAGAGAAGAAGAUGAAGCUUUUUCUUUAGAGUAAUGAGAGAAACAGAACUGUCAGAUUUUGGGAGAAGGAAGAUCCGAUUCCUCAAAAUGUUUCGAAAGUUUCGUGGGGUGUUCCGUUUCAGUCGCGGAUUGAGACCAUCGGGUGUUUCGGGAUCGAUUGCGGUUCCAUCUGAGAUCCGAUCGUGCUGAAAUUUUGUGGACAGAUUCGGGACGUAUAGACCUUGCUUUUCACCGAAGGGAUUAGAAAGUUACCGGAGCGAGUUUGGUUGUUCUUGGAUAUUGGAGAGUCUCU